UACGAAGGGGGCUAGCGUUGCUCGGAAUCACUGGGCGUAAAGGGUGCGUAGGCGGUCGGGUAAGUCUGAUGUGAAAUCUCACAGCUUAACUGUGAAACUGCAUUGGAUACUAUCCGGCUCGAGGAAUGGAGGGGAGACUGGAAUACUUGGUGUAGCAGUGAAAUGCGUAGAUAUCAAGUGGAACACCAGUGGCGAAGGCGAGUCUCUGGACAUUUCCUGACGCUGAGGCACGAAAGCGUGGGGAGCAAAAGGG
rnacentral:rRNA from 1 species